AGGCUUCGGUCUCUGAGUAGAGCGGCGCACGGGUGAGUAACGCGUGGAUGAUCUACCCUUGAGUUCGGGAUAACGGUGCGAAAGCGCCGCUAAUACCGUAUAACAAUCCAUUUCAUCGUGGGUUCAAAGCAGGCCUCUUCAUGAAAGCUUGCGCUUGGGGAUGAGUCCGCGUCCCAUUAGCUUGUUGGCGGGGUAACGGCCCACCAAGGCAACGAUGGGUAGCUGGCCUGAGAGGAUGAUCAGCCACACUGGAACUGAAACACGGUCCAGACUCCUACGGGAGGCAGCAGUGGGGAAUAUUGCGCAAUGGGGGAAACCCUGACGCAGCGACGUCGUGUGAGGGAAGAAGGCCUUCGGGUCGUAAACCUCUGUCAGAAGGGAAGAACAUCCGGGAGUCGAACAGCCUCCCGGCCUGACGGUACCUUCAGAGGAAGCGCCGGCUAACUCCGUGCCAGCAGCCGCGGUAAUACGGAGGGCGCAAGCGUUAAUCGGAAUCACUGGGCGUAAAGCGUGCGUAGGCUGCUUGAUAAGUCAGACGUGAAAUCCCUCGGCUCAACCGGGGAACUGCGUUUGAUACUGUCGAGCUAGAGUCCUGGAGAGGGUGGCGGAAUUCCUGGUGUAGGAGUGAAAUCCGUAGAUAUCANGAGGAACACCGGUGGCGAAGGCGGCCGCCUGGACAGG
rnacentral:rRNA from 1 species